CAGCAGCCACGGGAAUACGUAGGUGGCAAGCGUUGUCCGGAAUUAUUGGGCGUAAAGGGCUCGCAGGCGGUUUCUUAAGUCUGAUGUGAAAGCCCCCGGCUCAACCGGGGAGGGUCAUUGGAAACUGGGAACUUGAGUGCAGAAGAGGAGAGUGGAAUUCCACGUGUAGCGGUGAAAUGCGUAGAGAUGUGGAGGAACACCAGUGGCGAAGGCGACUCUCUGGUCUGUAACUGACGCUGAGGAGCGAAAGCGUGGGGAGCGAACAGGAUUAGAUACCCGCGUAGUCCCUGUCUCUUAUACA
rnacentral:rRNA from 1 species